rnacentral:snRNA from 1 species
AUACUAACCUGGCGUAGGGGACACCAUGAUCAACGAGGUGGUUCCCCCGGGCGAGAGGCCACGCGCUGAAGCCUGUAAGUACUCCUAACGAGGGUAUUUGUACGUUAAAUUUUUGAUAGUGUGGGGCUCUUGCGGGUAACGCAGCCCCCAU